rnacentral:rRNA from 1 species
UACGUAGGGUGCAAGCGUUAAUCGGAAUUACUGGGCGUAAAGCGUGCGCAGGCGGUUUUGUAAGUCUGACGUGAAAGCCCCGGGCUUAACCUGGGAAUUGCGCUGGAGACUGCAAGGCUUGAAUCUGGCAGAGGGGGGUAGAAUUCCACGUGUAGCAGCGAAAUGCGUAGAGAUCUGGAGGAACACCGAUGGCGAAGGCAGCCUUCUGGGCCAACACUGACGCUCAUGCACGAAAGCGUGGGGAGCAAACAGG